CGGGACGGGUGAGUAAUGUCUGGGAAACUGCCUGAUGGAGGGGGAUAACUACUGGAAACGGUAGCUAAUACCGCAUAACGUCGCAAGACCAAAGUGGGGGACCUUCGGGCCUCAUGCCAUAAGAUGUGCCCAGAUGGGAUUAGCUAGUAGGUGGGGUAACGGCUCACCUAGGCGACGAUCCCUAGCCGGUCUGAGAGGAUGACCAGCCACACUGGAACUGAGACACGGUCCAG
rnacentral:rRNA from 1 species